UAAAUUCUGUAAGUAUUUAUUUUGAAUCUCUUAGAGAAAUGUAACACAAUGAAUGUCGUCCUUCACACUAUUUUGUUCGAUAUGUUGUUUAAAUAUGCAGUCUAUUUUGUCAGAGCUAUUUGUUCAUAACCAAGAAAUGUGCAAAAUUCUCAAUAUCAAACGAAGUCUGUGUUCCCCAACCAAUGGGUUGGUUGAAAAAAUGAAUGGGACCAUUCAAAGAGCUCUGAGUAAGGUUGAGGAUGGCCAUCCACACACCUGGGAUGAGUAUUUGGAUGCUGUGAUGUUUGGGAUGCGCACCAAAAAACAAAUAACCACACAGUAUUCCCCAUACUUCCUCAUGUUCGGAAGAGAGGCACGCUAUCCCUCGGAAGUCCCUGAACAUUACAUGAUUGACGGUGCUGUGGAGGACAUCGUUGGAGUGGAGGAGUUGGCAGAGGACCUCAAAAUAC